rnacentral:lncRNA from 1 species
UCGAAUUAAAUUUUAUACGACACAAUUUGUAACUUUUUUAAACAAUUAAAAUUUUAAAUACAAAUAACAUGAUUACAUUAAAAUGCAUACAAUUACAAAUAAAAUAUAAUCUUAUUAUUUAAAUUUAAAAAUAAUAAUUAUAAAAAUAACUACUUUUAUACAAAGACGACUAGCAGGCUAUGUGAAGAUUGAAUAGUAUAGAGACAAAUAAGUUAUCCCAGAUAAAAGGUAUGCACUGGCCAAACACGACCCUCUUGGCCCUAAAGGUGGCAUGGGCCUUUCAUUUAUCAAGAUAACCUAAGUGGCUUUAAACAAUUCAUCUUCAUUGCUCAACCUUGUCAAUUCUAGUUCAUCAUCGUCUUUGAGAACAUAAUUCUUUCCGAUAUACAAGUUCCAUCAAGGAUGGCAAGUGUAGAGCAUACUCAAGGAUCUAAACUCACGAGAGAAUUGUGCAUAUUUCCAUGUGAUAACCCUUAAGAAAGAAAGAGAAAGACUUAGAAACUCAUGUUGGAAGACACACACGAUUUUUAUUUCUAAG